UUUCUUAGGAAUGAUAACUAGUGCUGGACUCCACAUACAUGAGCAAGUACAUGCAUACAUUAUUCACACAUUAUACACACACGCACACCUACAUGUGUAAAGAUUCAUUGAAGCUGGGAUUUUAUCCAACUGUGUCUCUCAAAUUUGAGCAGGGAAGAUAUAAAGAAGUAAGUGAUUAAUUCCUAAAUGAAACAUAAGAAUUGCAGGCUAGCAUUAGGGGACAGAGGGAGCACUCGCCAUCUGCAGCCUCCUGCAGCCAUGCAGUCUCACAGAGCUGCAGUAAAGAGACUCGGAGUGGAAGUGACAUUUCUGAUGGCACCCCACUUCACCAACAAGGAACAGGACUAAAGGCAAGCUAGCCGCUGACCACCGAGCAUCGCUGUGCCCACUGCUGAGUUUCUGAGGAAUGUGUCAUCCAGCUCGGCAGUUCCCGUGACUACUGAGGACUGGCACUGAGUCCAGCUUUGUUGAACCUCCGAUUAUGCAGAGAAAAUGAGUGAUUCCUACUUGGACACAAAAGGAACUAAAGAAAAUGAUACUCUGUGAAGACAUAAAGCUGUUUGCAAUAUAAUCUACAAUCUUUUUCCGAUAUUCUUUAAUUCCUGUCACCUCUCAGGAUGAAGUAACCCCUCAGAUUGAAGAACGGAGACAUGAAGGCAGAAGUAAAGCAAACCGUGAGGAAACGUAGGGACCAACAGCACUUGAGAUGAGAACGGGGUCGGUGCGCAAGCCGCACACAUGGGGGACUGUUCGAGUAGAGGCCAAUGAGGAGUUCCGUGGAGUCUCUGGCUGUGGCUUCAGCUUUGACAGGAUGAGGAAGCUGUCCUGUUCUUAGAGACAGACGCUACCACAGAGCCCCGACUCUUCCUUUGUCAGCUCCACUUCUCACUCCAGCUCUCCACACCUCCUCUCUCCCAGCACCCGGAUCCCAAGCUGCUUCCCUUCACUUGGACCCCAAAACUCUCUCUGAGCCCUGGCUCAUCUCUUCAAAGAUGUGUGUGGAAUAUCCCUGGACACUGUGUGAACAUAUGUUACUGUGAUCGGUUUAAUAAACAAGCUGACCAGCCAAUAGCGGAACAAGAUACUGUUAGGUGGGAAAGCAAAACUGAGUGACCGGAUGAGGAAGGGUGGAGUCGGAGAAGCUGUCAAUAGAUGCAGAAGGAGCUGGAGAUGAAUGUGACAUGCUAGUAACAGUCCCGCCACACGACAGAGCGUAAAUAAUGAAGGUAGGUUAGCUUAAAAUGUAAGAGGUAGUUAGUAGUAAGCCCAAGCUAUUAGCUGAGCAUUGAUAAUUUAUUUUAUGCCUCUGUGUCUGUUAUUUGGGAGCAGGCGGUCAGGACAGGAAAAUUUCCACCUAAAAAUGUGUGUCCUCUGAGCUGCCCUGUGUUUACGAGGAGCUGUAAGAAUGUUACAUCCUGCCAGGCGUUGGUGGCGCACGCCUUUAAUCCCAGCACUCCGGAGGCAGAGGCAGGUGGAUCUCUGUGAGUUCGAGACCAGCCCGCUCUACAGAGCGAGUGCCAGGACAGCCUCCAAAGCCACAGAGAAACCCUGUCUCGAAAAACAAAACACAAAAACAAAACAAAAAAGAUUGUUAUGACAUCAUGACAAGGGAGCAUGAGUCUUAGGAUCAGGAGCUACCACCUCUGUAUGGCCUUGCCCAGACAUCUACCCUUCCUGGAUUUCAGUUCUCUACUGCUAAUGUGAAGACAACGGUGGCUUCACAGAAUUGCCCAGAGAUCUUUGCAAGCUACAUCGUCCUGUAAAACCUGCAACUAUGGCCGUUUCAGAGGAAAGGUCUUGGAAGUGUCUCAUAUCUGGAAAUCGUGUCUGAACUCAUGGGAUGAUUUUCUUUCCUCCAGUGCUAGAGAUGGAACCCAGGCCCUUACAAGCACCCUUCUCCUGAGUGAGCUAUGUCCACAACCUCAUGGCAUGGAUUUUUAUGGUAAAAAUAGUAGUUGGUGAAGGUACCCACCGUGGGGGCUAAUACCAGAGUUGUAAUAGUCUUUUCUUUGUCCUUCAAAACCUAUGGGUGUCUCUUAUCCCCUAAAACGCUGCAUUGUUCUCAGGAAACACCUUGAGUUAAUAAAUAUAUCUACCACAGCAAACACUUACCAGCAAUUUGUUAGCAAAAACAUAGUCUGAAGGUUGAAAGGGCUGCAGGGCUAGGUAUUAACGGUGGUUUUGGUUUGGUAUGACCCUGAUCAGCCUUCGGAACAGCAGGUCACUCUACACACAUCCUCGUGAAAACCGAGUCUCAAAUAAAUCAACAGACGUGUUGGCAAGACGUCUCCCUUCGUGCAAACCCCAGAUGACAGCCAGAAGG